UACGGAGGGGACUAGCGUUGUUCGGAAUUACUGGGCGUAAAGCGCACGUAGGCGGAUUUGUAAGUCAGGGGUGAAAUCCCGGGGCUCAACCUCGGAACUGCCUUUGAUACUGCAAAUCUCGAGUCCGGAAGAGGUGAGUGGAAUUCCUAGUGUAGAGGUGAAAUUCGUAGAUAUUAGGAAGAACACCAGUGGCGAAGGCGGCUCACUGGUCCGGUACUGGACGCUGAGGUGCGAAAGCGUGGGGAGCAAACAGG
rnacentral:rRNA from 1 species